rfam:Ovis aries breed Texel chromosome 4, whole genome shotgun sequence.
UCCCUGGUGGUCCAAUGAUUAGGACUCUGUACUUCCACUGCAGAGGGCAUGGGUUCAAUCCCUGGUCAGGUAA